AACGAACGCUGGCGGCGUGCCUAACACAUGCAAGUCGUGCGAGAAAGUUCCUUCGGGAGCGAGUAAAGCGGCGCACGGGUGAGUAACACGUAGGUAACCUGCCCCCCAGUCUGGAACAACUAGAGGAAACUCUAGCUAAUGCCGGAUGAGACCACGAUCCCUUCGGGGGUUGCGGCCAAAGAUGGCCUCUACUUGUAAGCUAUCGCUGAGGGAUGGGCCUGCGGGCCAUUAGCUUGUUGGUGAGGUAACGGCUCACCAAGGCUGUGAUGGCUAGCUGGUCUGAGAGGAUGACCAGCCACACUGGGACUGAGACACGGCCCAGACUCCUACGGGAGGCAGCAGUGGGAAUAUUGCGCAAUGGGCGAAAGCCUGACGCGAGCGACGCCGCGUGGGUGAUGAAGGCCUCCGGGUCGUAAAG
rnacentral:rRNA from 1 species